UCUGUUUAUUGGCCCUGCAGGCUGACAAGGAACUGACACCUGUGCCCAAGCCUUUUCCAAACCUUGGCAUAAACAGGCACGUUCAUUAUGCAGCAGAAUUGUAGAUCCAUGUGUCCUCAAGGCAGGGGAGAGCAGCAGACUUUACCCUUACAAGGAAGAACAGGAGUGAAUAUGUGAAGAGUGAUAAGGGUGAUCAGGCUUCUGGAGCAGCUUCCAUGUGAUGAAGGAAAUUUGACAAUCUUCAGCCUGGAGUAGAAUCAACUGACAGAGAAUUUGAUAGAGAUCUACAGGACUGGGAAUGACAUGAAAAAGCAUUUGUUCAUCUUUCAUGCCAGACUUUCAAACUCUGCAAUGUGACUGACUGAUGUGGUAAGUGCAGUUAAUUUUAAUUCUGAUUUUUAGGACUGGAUUUGUCAAUCAAUAUUGUUCACUGGAGUAAUUCAGUAAGUGUCUCUAAUUUCUGAGCCUUUUUUUCCCCUCUCUUUCUUUCUCUUUUCCUUAAUAAUUUAGAGGUGAAACUUCUCUAAGAGCUACCUGUCAA